rnacentral:snRNA from 1 species
AACUAUUUCAACACUACAAAUUAA